AGAGUUUGAUCAUGGCUCAGAACGAACGCUGGCGGCGUGGAUAAGACAUGCAAGUCGGACGAGAUUUUUCGUUGUAGCAAUACGAUGGAAAGUCUAGUGGCGAACGGGUGCUUAACACGUGGGCAACCUGCCAAGAAGUGGGGGAUAGCUCGCCGAAAGGCGAAUUAAUACCGCAUGUGAUUAGAGGAGACAUCUUUUCAAAAUUAAAGUCGGGGCAACCUGACGCUUCUUGUGGGGCCCGCGGCCUAUCAGCUAGUUGGUGAGGUAACGGCUCACCAAGGCUUUGACGGGUAGCUGGUCUGAGAGGACGACCAGCCACACUGGGACUGAGACACGGCCCAGACACCUACGGGUGGCAGCAGUCGAGAAUUUUUGACAAUGGGGGAAACCCUGAUCGAGCGACGCCGCGUGGAGGAUGAAGGUCUUCGGAUUGUAAACUCCUGUCAUUGGGGAACAAUGCACAGAUAUUAACUGUAUUUGUGUUGAUAGUACCCGAAGAGGAAGAGACGGCUAACUCUGUGCCAGCAGCCGCGGUAAUACAGAGGUCUCAAGCGUUGUUCGGAUUCAUUGGGCGUAAAGGGUGCGUAGGCGGCGCGGUAAGUCGGGUGUGAAAUCUCGGGGCUUAACUCCGAAACUGCAUUCGAUACUGCCGUGCUUGAGGACUGGAGAGGAGACUGGAAUUUACGGUGUAGCGGUGAAAUGCGUAGAUAUCGUAAGGAAGACCAGUGGCGAAGGCGGGUCUCUGGACAGUUCCUGACGCUGAGGCACGAAGGUCAGGGGAGCAAACGGGAUUAGAUACCCCGGUAGUCCUGACAGUAAACGGUGCACGUUUG
rnacentral:rRNA from 1 species